rnacentral:misc_RNA from 1 species
GAUGAAGAACGCAGCGAAAUGCGAUACGUAAUGUGAAUUGCAGAAUUCAGUGAAUCAUCGAAUCUUUGAACGCAUAUUGCGCUCUCUGGUAUUCCGGAGAGCAUGCUUGUUUGAGUAUCAGUAAACACCUCAACUUCCAUAUCUUUUUUGAAAUGGGAGUUGGACUUGAGUGAUCCCAACGCUUUUCCUCACCGAAAAGUGGCGGGUUACUUGAAAUGCAGGUGCAGCUGGACUUUUCUCUGAGCUAUAAGCAUAUCUAUUUAGUCUGCCUAAAAAACAGAUUAUUACCUUUGCUGCAGCUAACAUAAAGGAGAUUAGUUCUUGUGCUGACUGAUGCAGGAUUCACAAAGACAGGCUUCGGCCGACUUUGUAAACUCGAUCUCAAAUCAAGUAAGACUACCCGCUGAUCUUAAGCAUAUCAAUAAGCGGAGGA